AGUCCCUAGGGCGGGUUGCCUGCCCUGGCUGAACUGGAUUAAAUCUGUGCUCUAGUGGGUGUGGCAGAACCCUGGGCUAACAGCCCAAGGGAUGCACCUCAAUGGCCCCCACCUGUGUCUGUAUCAGCAUGCCUGGACCAGCUCAGAGCAACGGCCCCCACCAAUGUCUCAGUCUCCGGAGAGGAUCCUCCUCUCACCAAGAUGCCCCCAGAGCCCACUAGGGCAUGCUGGGGGUGCUAUGGAGUUAACGUCUCUAGGAGCAGGACUAAAGCAAUGGAAGAUGGGCAUCAACGUCCUCUACCCGUUGAAUUUCACCUCACUGUAGAGUAUUUUAGAUUGUCUCCCUCCCAGACUUCUCCAGCAAAACUGAGCAUCAAUUAUCCAC
rnacentral:lncRNA from 1 species